UAAAUUUUACCAAUAAUUAUUGGUAAAAUUGACUCAUAUUAUGAAUGAAGUACCUUUACUUAUAUAUGGGUAAAGCCCUAUUACUCACAUUUGGAUGAAAAAAAUAUUAUUCUAGAGGCAGCACCUAAAUCGACUGUUUACAAAAACUAAAACUAUUUUUUUAGUGAAACGUCGGAAAAACUUAUUGCUAAUUUGCAAAAAAAUGGUUUUUAGAAGAAUUAGUUGAGCUACACUACCUAGCAAAAAAAGUAAACGAACUAAUCAAAUUUCUGUCGGAGUCAAUAACGAUAAUUGUAAAUAUGUAUCCGUCCACAACCCGGUCCAAAUCAAUCGAAUCAGACAACCAGUUUGAGCAGCUGGAUUCGAUGUGAAAAAGUAGGAUUCGGUUCCGUUUGAAAAUCUGAAUUUCUCCGUAC